UACAGAGGGUGCGAGCGUUAAUCGGAAUUACUGGGCGUAAAGCGCACGUAGGUGGCGACGUAAGUCGGGUGUGAAAGCCCCGGGCUCAACCUGGGAAUUGCAUUCGAGACUGCAUUGCUGGAGUACGGAAGAGGAAGGCGGAAUUCCCGGUGUAGCGGUGAAAUGCGUAGAUAUCGGGAGGAACAUCAGUGGCGAAGGCGGCCUUCUGGUCCAGUACUGACACUCAAGUGCGAAAGCGUGGGGAACAAACAGG
rnacentral:rRNA from 1 species